GUCAAUUAGUAUGUGUUUGGCAGCUGUUUGUUGACGACGUGAAGUUAAAAUUGAACAACGGUUUGCUUGAAAAACAUUCAAUGAAGGUCGUGACGUCAUCGAAGAUUUGCUUCAAACCAGUGGUUCAUCCACUUCUGCUAUAGUCGAUAACAUCGAAAAAAUGUAAGAAAUAGUGCUUAAAAGUCGUUGUGUUGGCACCAGAGGCUUUCAACAUCUCUUAUAGAUCGACUCCAAAAAUUUUGGUUAAUGUUUUGGGUAUGGUGUGCAUUCAAUGACAGACUGGUACGAAAAUACCUGAAUCUUUUGCGAAAACCACGUGGAGAAGAGGCUGAAGACCUUACAUUAUUCAAACACAUCGUUGCUGGUGUCGAGUCUAGUGAGUAGAGGGAAUGACGCGGCAAAAAUUAGCGCAAGCCGAAAAAAAAACAAAAUUCGUUAAAGGCCAUCUCAACCAGGACAUUAAACAAGUGUAUGGAAAAUAAUAGCAGUGUUACUCGCUCGAGAGUCUAUAUUGAAGGCGACAAUAAAGAUUUGUACCUACAUAAAUACGGUUUUUUUGUCAGUCCAGGUGAACUUUAAUCAAAUGAACAAAUGUAAAGCAUGACACAAUUCCGAUUUCUUUGGCGCCGCGAUUUGAAGGUACCUUUGGAAAGAGGAAGUCCUCCUGAUUAAAAAAUAUA